CGCGCGCGUGGGGCGGAAACGACACUAACAAUCCUUCGGGUGCGUUAAUGGGCGUCGAGCGGCGGACGGGUGAGUAAUGCCUAGGAAAUUGCCUUGAUGUGGGGGAUAACCAUUGGAAACGAUGGCUAAUACCGCAUAAUGCCUACGGGCCAAAGAGGGGGAUCUUCGGACCUCUCGCGUCAAGAUAUGCCUAGGUGGGAUUAGCUAGUUGGUGAGGUAAUGGCUCACCAAGGCGACGAUCCCUAGCUGGUCUGAGAGGAUGAUCAGCCACACUGGAACUGAGACACGGUCCAGACUCCUACGGGAGGCAGCAGUGGGGAAUAUUGCACAAUGGGCGAAAGCCUGAUGCAGCCAUGCC
rnacentral:rRNA from 1 species